UGAGCGUAUGCCAGUGGAGGAGUCU
rnacentral:piRNA from 1 species